ensembl:lncRNA
UGCUGACUUAUUUCCAGGAUCGCUGCAGCCCUUCACGGUUGCCGUUUCCCAGGACUGAGCUCACUCUCCUGAAGAAUGACUCCGGCCUCUGUUUCCUAAGGGAUGACCUGAGAUGUUAGAACAAAUGCCGUUUCCUUGCUCUCAGUGCUAGGACAGAGUCAGGAGCUGAAUCCCAGAGGACUCUCCCGGAUACAGCAACCGUAGGAGGAAUCUGCUGCUGUAAUUGCAUUUCUGGGGCAUCGGGCAUUUUCUGAUUCAUUUAAUACGUGCCAUGUUGCAUUUGUUACAGAUCAGAUACACAACAGGAGCCCUAUUACCUUAGAAGCACGGCUAUUAUUGAGUACUGACUUAAUUAGGGAUCAGGUUGGUUUGACAGAACCCAUCCUGCCCAGUCUCCCACUGCUGGGCGUUGUGUCCUCCUUCCAGCCCCGGUUCACUGCCCAGCACCAGGCAGAGGGGCCAUUGCUGCUGGUACCCCCCGACCCAUCUGCUUUCCCACAUGGCCCAUGGUGUUCCCAGACCCCCAGACUUACUGCUGGGUGGCAGUGGAGCUCAGCCCACCCCCCGGCUCGGCUCACCCACCUGGCUGUGAGUUCCCCUGGCAGGGACGUGGUGCACUGUGCAGUUCCUGCUUCUGUAGUUUUCCACGGCUGCCAUUGUUUACACGGAGCACCCAAGGUUCCAAGGGCACGUCCUCUGCACGCCGCCUGGAAACACACCCCGCACGGCGGCGGCUGUCCUGCGGCAGGGCUGGCACGAGGAGGCAGAUCUGCUUACCGCUCCCAUUCCCCGGAGGCUGGAUGUGCUGAGAUGUGCUGUGCGGUGGGAGGGCACCUCGGCGCAGUGACCUUGGAUGGGCAAAUGCACCUGUAAAAACAGCAGAGGUGGUGAGGAGAGGUUGGUCCUCCUGCUCCCACACUGCAGGCAGCUGCAUGUCCCCAGGAAGUGCGCAUCUGGGCACCCCCACAUCUAUACUGCUACCCCUGCAUCUCUGUACACCCACACAUCUGUACACCUGCACAUCUGGACUACUGCACCAUUGGCUCUGACGUCUCCAUGCAGGGCUCCAUAGCAUAUGGAAGCACAUAGGGCAGGAAUGGAGAGCCAGAGACCGUGGCAGUGUGUGGCAGAGCACAGCUUUGCGGGACUGAUGUGCACCAGCACCAAGAGGAUGCUGUAGGUGAUGGCCAGCGGGGAGCAGCCAGGGAUGUCUCUGGGUCUCAGUGUCAGCAUGGCCAGAGCCACUUGGUACCCAACUGACUGACCUGCUUCAGUGGAAGAUGGCCAAGUUGCUUAGAAAAAAUAAAAGUUGAAGCAAGCAAAUAUCAGGAGGGACGCAAGCCUUUACCCGCAGGCAGAAGGACGUGGAAGUUUUAUUGUUUUUCCUUUGGUGGUGUCCUUUUACAGUUUGGAUGCACAAUCCCAGCAAAACUUGGCUGGGAUGCAUCCGUGGCCGCUUCCCACCGCCUGCUGCCCUGCUCUGCUCCUGCAUGCAGAACUCGAAUAUGCUGAUGAAUGCAGCGUAAGCAGGAAAAAGGGGAGCACAGCAUGAUCGGAUGCAUUAACGGCUGCCUGCACGAGGCCCCUGUUCGUGUCCUGUGGUGUGUGUGAUAUUUCAUGUGACAGAGCUUUGCGACGCUUCAACUCUGUCCUGUCCGCAAAAUGACAGUCUGAUCAUCAUUGCUUUCUAUAGUUUGGGAAUGGUGGCAAAAGAGAUUUACUUUCCAGCCCCAGAUACUCUGAUCCUCUAAGGCAGCGUCCUACAAACCCAGGUACAGGUUCUUCUGUAUUGGCUGCAAGUGCUGGAACACUUUCUUCAUACGAAUGAUAGAGAUGUGGAAGGAUAAAACCAAAAUAUGCACUGCUGCAGUUUGUACAGCGUAAAAAAAUAAGGGAGCAUAAUCCAAAUAACAACAUCUAGUGCUUUUACAGGGCUCCGUGCAUAUGGCAUAAAUGACAGCUAAUUAAACUUUAUAUCCUGCCUGCAAGAUAAGCGUAUAAUUAGUAUUACAUCCCUUCUGUAAUUAGGAGACCGCAUGCAAAAAGCUGCGCCUGCAGACUGUGCUGUAAGGC